GCACACUCUAGGAGUAAAGCAAUGAGCAAUACACACUUGAGGAGAGAUGAAUACACACACACUCACGCACACAUCAGUGGGCAGCCCAGGUAGCUUAUCCCCCCCUAUCACUGUUCACAAUCUGCUUCAAUAACCUUUAGGCCAGGCAGUAGGAUAAUUAGGCUAAAUUUCGGCUAUGAAAUCACUGAAUCUAAUGGCUAAAGAGCAGUUCAUUCCAGGAACUAUAACGAUAAAAGCGUCCAGACAGACUGACCAGCUAUAAGCAAAGUCUCACCUUGUGUUAAUAAAUGUGAUGGCUAAGAUGUGAUGGGUUCCUAUUGGUUGUUAGCUCUUCUUUUUAUUGUUCUCAAAAUCGCUUUAAAAGCGAUCCCCAACAAUAUUGUUCUCAAUCUCGUUAUAGUUUAUCAUAUUAACGAGAACAAUAUUUUUUUAUAUAGUUAUCGUUUUUGGUGUGAAUGGCCCUUUAUAUAUGUAUUCUUCAGACGUUUUCAAAGUUCAAGGACAAUGCUUAAAGUUGUUCCCCAGGUUUUAUGAAACUUUAAGUUUAACUUUAAGUUUAAUUUCCAGGGUUUUUUUACAUUUAUGGUUAAUUAAUAUUAUUAUUAUUAUUAUUAUUGUCAUUUUAAGGUUGCCGGAAAUGUAGUAGGCAAAAAGUUUUCAAAUAUGACUCCAUAACAGGACGAAGGAUAAAUGAGGUAAGAAAUAUAUUUUUCAUUAGGCUGUCUGAUCAUCUCUCCAUUGUCUGUGGCUCAUCUGGCAUUUCACAUAUCACAAAAUACUGGCCAUUUAAGCAUUGGUAAUUUGAGUCCAUUUAAGUUCAACUGAAGGCCAAGUGGCCUUGCCCCAAAAAUUAUGAAAUUCAAAACCUGAUUAUAUGUUUUUGUCUUUCUGUAGGGGCAAGAGGAAGUAAGGGUGAAAUGGUUACCUUGCUCUGCAUGUGGAAAAAUCUGGGAGGAGACAUGGGAGCCGGCCUGCCAGUUCUCACCAGGUGCCAACCAUGUGUAAUGUCACACAUUGGUCUGUAAUUCAAUGAGUUAAAUACCUGCUAUGAGAUGUCAAGUUUGCCGUUACGGGCCCAGCCAUCCUGCUUGCGGAUGUGACUACUUUAGAUGAGGAGGAGCCGCGUUACACACUUUCAAUGGUUUCCACCCUAACAUGCUGUCAUGCUGUUUUUUAAUUUAUUUUUUAAUUAUUGAUUUUUGUUAAAAGCUGUGUUCAAAUAAAUCGAUGUAUACCUUUA